GAGGGUAUAGCUCAGUGGUAGAGCACAUGCUUAGCAUACACGGAGCUCCUGGGUUCAAUCCCCAGUAUCUCCG
rnacentral:tRNA from 1 species